rnacentral:rRNA from 1 species
UACGUAGGGUGCGAGCGUUAAUCGGAAUUACUGGGCGUAAAGCGUGCGCAGGCGGUCCGCAAAGUCUGAUGUGAAAGCCCCGGGCUCAACCUGGGAACUGCAUUGGAAACUAACGGCUCGAGUGUGGCAGAGGGGGGUGGGAAUUCCACGUGUAGCAGUGAAAUGCGUAGAGAUGUGGAGGAAUACCGAUGGCGAAGGCAGCCCCCUGGGACAUGACUGACGCUCAUGCACGAAAGCGUGGGGAGCAAACAGG